rnacentral:rRNA from 1 species
GAUGAACGCUGGCGGCGUGCCUAAUACAUGCAAGUCGAGCGAACGGACGAGAAGCUUGCUUCUCUGAUGUUAGCGGCGGACGGGUGAGUAACACGUGGAUAACCUACCUAUAAGACUGGGAUAACUUCGGGAAACCGGAGCUAAUACCGGAUGAUAUUUUGAACCGCAUGGUUCAAAAGUGAAAGACGGUCUUGCUGUCACUUAUAGAUGGAUCCGCGCUGCAUUAGCUAGUUGGUAAGGUAACGGCUUACCAAGGCAACGAUGCAUAGCCGACCUGAGAGGGUGAUCGGCCACACUGGAACUGAGACACGGUCCAGACUCCUACGGGAGGCAGCAGUAGGGAAUCUUCCGCAACGGGCGAAAGCCUGACGGAGCAACGCCGCGUGAGUGAUGAAGGUCUUCGGAUCGUAAAACUCUGUUAGUAGGGAAGAACAUAUGUGUAAGUAACUGUGCACAUCUUGACGGUACCUAAUCAGAAAGCCACGGCUAACUACGUG